GUAGGGAAUAUUGGACAAUGGGCGAAAGCCUGAUCCAGCCAUGCCGCGUGAUAGAUGAAGGCCCUCUGGGUUGUAAAUAUCUUUUAUCUGGGAAGAAACUCCUCUAUUCUUAGAGGCCUGACGGUACCAGAGGAAUAAGCACCGGCUAACUCCGUGCCAGCAGCCGCGGUAAUACGGAGGGUGCAAGCGUUAUCCGGAUUCACUGGGUUUAAAGGGUGCGUAGGCGGGUUGAUAAGUCAGUGGUGAAAGCUCCGGGCUUAACUUGGAAACUGCCAUUGAUACUGUCAGUCUUGAAUGUCGUAGAGGUAAGCGGAAUGUUGCAUGUAGCGGUGAAAUGCUUAGAUAUGUUACAGAACACCAAUUGCGAAGGCAGCUUACUAUUUCAUGAUUGACGCUGAGGCACGAAAGCGUGGGUAGCGAACAGGAUUAGAAACCCGUGUAGUCC
rnacentral:rRNA from 1 species